UUGGCUUAGAAGCAGCCACCCUUGAAAGAGUGCGUAAUAGCUCACUGGUCAAGUGAUUCCGCGCCGAUAAUGUAGCGGGGCUUAAGUUAUCCGCCGAAGCUGUGGCAACCUGUGUGGUUGGGUAGGGGAGCGUCGUGUCAGUGGUGAAGCUGCCGGGUGACUGUGUGGUGGAGUUGAUGCGAGUGAGAAUGCAGGCAUGAGUAGCGUGUGACGGGUGGGAAUCCCGUCCGCCGAUUAUCCAAGGGUUCCAGGGUCAAGUUUGUCUGCCCUGGGUGAGUCGGGUCCUAAGGCGAGGCCGACAGGCGUAGUCGAUGGGUAACCAGUUGAUAUUCUGGUACCGGCUUGUCACCGUCCGUGUCGAGGUGUGUGAUGCUAAGCAUGUGAGCUUGUCUUGGGAGUGUUUUUGAUGCUUCUGGGGUGGGUGAGUGUGUGAACCGAUCAUGUAGUAGGCAAGCUGCGGAGGGACGCAGUGAGGUAGCUCAUCCCCGGUGAUGGUUGUCCGGGGCUAAGUGUGUGGACUGUCUGGUAGGUAAAUCCGCUGGGCGUGAAGGUUGAGGCAUGAUGGGGAGCCCAUGGUUGUGGGUGAGUGAGUGAUCCUGUACUGUCGAGAAAAGCUUCGUGAGCGAGGUGGCGGGUCCGCCCGUACCCUAAACCGACACUGGUGGAUAGGUAGAGUAUACCGAGGCGAUCGAGUGAAUCGUGGUGAAGGAACUCGGCAAAAUGCCCCCGUAACUUUGGGAUAAGGGGGACCUUAGCUGUCGUGCACCCGUGCGGUGUGGUGGCGUGAGGGGCGCAGAGUCCAGGGGGAAACGACUGUUUACCAAAAACACAGGUCCGUGCGAAGUCGUAAGACGAUGUAUACGGACUGACUCCUGCCCGGUGCUGGAAGGUUAAGGGGAUCUGUUAGAGCAAUCGAAGCAGUGAACUUAAGCCCCAGUAAACGGCGGUGGUAACUAUAACCAUCCUAAGGUAGCGAAAUUCCUUGUCGGGUAAGUUCCGACCUGCACGAAUGGAGUAACGAUUUCCCUACUGUCUCCACCAUGAACUCGGUGAAAUUGCAUUACGAGUAAAGAUGCUCGUUACGCGCAGCAGGACGGAAAGACCCUGAGACCUUUACUAUACUUUGGUAUUGGUGUUCGGUGCAGCUUGUGUAGGAUAGGUGGGAGACUGUGAAGCUUGGACGCUAGUUCAGGUGGAGUCAUCGUUGAAAUACCACUCUGGCUGUACCGGUCACCUAACUUCGGACCAUGAUCUGGUUCAG
rnacentral:rRNA from 1 species